AACGUAGGACGCAAGCGUUAUCCGGAGUUACUGGGCGUAAAGCGCGGGCAGGCGGCUCGAAGCGUCUGAUGUGAAAUCUCCUCGCUCAACGGGGAGAGGCCAUUGGAAACGGUCGAGCUGGAGGGCAGUAGAGGUAGGCGGAAUUCCGGGUGGAGUGGUGAAAUGCGCAGAUAUCAGGAGGAACACCAAUGGCGAAGGCAGCUCGCUGGGACGUGACUGACGCUGAGACGCGAAAGCGUGGGGAGCAAACAGG
rnacentral:rRNA from 1 species